GUACCGUAACAGCCUGUGAUCGGUCAGUGUACCAUUUGUGUCCCAGUCUUCCAUCUGGUCCCCUAGGGGAGUGUCCACCAGGUGGAAAACCUGCAUAAAUACCAGGCAGGUAGCCCCAUUAAACCAGACCACUGCUUGACCCACAACACGGAGCCUUGUCUCGUUAUUGGGAGGAUUUAUUGUAUGCUGUUUCCAGUUUGACUGCUAGGAGUAAAACCUUUUGUUUGUUUUUUUCCUGUUCGGCUGUUUAUAGCAUUCGUAUGGUUCCGGUUUGGCUGUUUGGAGAAUUUGUGUGGUUUCCUGUUCGGGAGAUUGGUGUAUGGAGUAGCUGCCUGUGUAUCUGGAAGAGAAUAUCCUCUAAACAGCCUUUUAACCCUUUUAUGCCUGUGGGUGCCGUUACACAUAUUAGAUCAUAAGGACUGUACUAGUCUCCCUGCUAGUGUAAAAUAAAAUAAAA